CUCGAUCUUGGCGCGGUUGCGCACGAUGCCCGCGUCGUCGAGCAGCCGUUGCACGUCGUCGGUGGUGAACCCGGCGACCGACUC
rnacentral:tRNA from 1 species